rnacentral:rRNA from 1 species
CAGUCGCCGCGGGAAUACGAAGGGGGCUAGCGUUGCUCGGAAUGACUGGGCGUAAAGGGCGCGUAGGCGGAUGGCUUUGUCAGAUGUGAAAUUCCAGGGCUUAACCUUGGGGCUACAUUUGAGACGGGUUGUCUAGAGUGGAGAAGAGGGUCGUGGAAUUCCCAGUGUAGAGGUGAAAUUCGUAGAUAUUGGGAAGAACACCGGUGGCGAAGGCGGCGACCUGGUCUUUUACUGACGCUGAGGCGCGAAAGCGUGGGGAGCAAACAGGAUUAGAUACCCCAGUAGUCCCUGUCUCUUAUAC